GUGGAAGGGACCAAAUUCACAUGCCUCUGAGAGAGGACGCUGUCAUUUAACACACUUCUUAGACUGAAUUGUUAACAGUGUUUGCCCAAAGCAAAGGCAGGGACAUGCAUUCUGGGCAGAGGGAAUAGCGUGGACCCAGGCCAGGAAGCAUAAAAAUGCCAGAUGACCAGAAGGGAAUGCAAGAUACCGAUAGCUGGAGAAAAUGAUCUGUAGUAGGAAAUUCUUGGUGCCAAGAAAGAGUUGGAACUUCUAGGUCACAGGGAGCCAUUGAAGGCUUUAAACUAGAAACGACCUAAGUCAAGUUGCAGCAUUGUAGAAGCAGGACUGCCAUCACACACGAACCCAUUCCUGUCCCAUAAUCUGCUGGCUUUUGAUCCUUCUGGCUUCCCAUACUCCCUUACACUUAUUCUGUCAUUCAAAUUCUUGGCUCCUCCUUCCCAUCCAGCCUCCAAGAGUACCACAAGGGUUACUAACCUGUUUAAGUGCCUUUGUUGUUUGUAGCCAUCUUUUUAUAUGUCCCUUCUGCUUCAUCUAGGCAUUGCUGCCCCAUGACAGGCUUUCUUGUUCCUGGAUUUUAAGUUAUCUCUUGGUACUGGACUAUAUGUUCCCUGGGUGGUUUCCUUGAACCAGACAGCAAUGUUUUCCUUAAAGUACAACACAGUAGGGCAGGUGUAAGCCAGAGAAACCAGCAAGUGAAACAAACUGAGUUGGGAAGCAUGGGCAUUUGUGAGGGUCACAGCCUCAGGGCUGGUUUGAUCAAGAGACUUAAGGUCUGUUUCUGCUCUCUUUUAUAUUGGCUCUUCAGGACUCUGGUUAUCAUGCACAACUCAACUCACUAAACAAUUUUCCCCUCCUUUUCUCUAGCCCCUGUGGACCACCAUCCCGGCAGACAUGACUUCUCACAGACCUCAUAUAAGUAUCAUCAUAUAGCAUUUGUCCUACUGUGGCAGGCUUAUGUUACUUAGCACACCGUCCUCAGGGUUCACCAUGAUGUAGCACAUGCCAGCAAAUCUUGGUAGGUCUGAAUGCCAUCCCACUGCACAUGCACACACCGCCUCGUGUUUGUCCACCCAUCUGCUGAUGAGCACUGCCACACACCUGGCUGUGUUGCUACCAAGUUCAACUUUUUCAGGAGAUGUCACCCAUUUCCCACAGUGCCUACCCCACAGUGUUCCUGCCACUUGUGGGCUCAGUCCUGAAGUUUCUUUCUUCUUUGCAAUGUCCCAGGCUUUCCCUCUCCACACUGUGACAUCUGAAGCCACCAGGGGAGAUGCAGGUGACAGAGGAACCGAGUGGAGGCUGUGAGCUUGGCUGAGGACAGUCAUCCUGUAUACCUCUUCCCCAGGCUUCCUCACUGCUGGGAGUCACAUACAUGAUUUCUCUCUCUGGUCUGGGCUGUUACCUACACUAUGUUGGAGAGGGGAGUCCUUCUACAGAGAGUCUGGGAGUUCUAGUUCCAUGAAAGCCCACUGGCCUCAGAGGCCCAGUGAGGAGAGUGAGAGGCAAGGAAGAAGACAAGUUACUGGGGCCUCCAUGCUACAAGAAGGAGCAACAAGAGCAUCUAGGUGACAGACAGCUUUCAUAGUCCAGAAAGCACCAAGUUAAGUAAGUAUCCACACAGCCCCCCCUGUCCUCUGAGUUGGCCACAUCCAGAUGACAAAGGAAUGAUUGAGAGACACAGGUGACCCUCCACUGGCUGAUGGGUUGGUAGAAAGCCUGAGGGUGGUUGAUCUGUGGGGCCCAGCCCAGGACAGUUGGCAAUGGAACCUUCUAGACCAGAGGACCCAGAGAGGCUAACAACAACCCUCAAUCCACCAAUGCCACACUUGUUUGCACUGGCGCCUGAGUGAGUUCCAGGAUGUGGGAUGAUAUAUCUGACUACAAGGACACACUCUUCUAGCAACCAAGAUGGGCGAGCAUAGCAGUGAACUGUUAUAUGCCUAUGGGUGGUGCUGGCUCAUUUACUGUUGGAAAUGUAAUAUCUUGAAGGUGGCUAUACUGCUAAUUUUAUGUCAACUUGAUACAGACUGUAGUCAUCUGAGAGCAAGGAACCUCAAUUGAGAAAAUGCCUCAAUAAGAUCUGGCUGAAGGUAACCCUGUAGGGCAUUUUCUUAAUUAGUGAUUGAUUGGGGAGGGCCCAGCCCAUUGGGAGUGAUGCCAUCCCUGGGCUGGUGGUCCUGGGUUCUAUAAGAAAGCAGAAUGAAAGUCAUGAAGAGCAAGCCAGUAAGCAGUAUCCCUCCACGGUCUCUGCACCAGCCACUGCCUUCAGGUUCCUGCCCUGUUUGAGUUCCUGUCCUGACAUCCUUUGAUGAUGUGGAAGCAUGAGCUCAAUAAACCCUUUCCUCCCCAAGUUGCUUUGGUCA
rnacentral:lncRNA from 1 species